rnacentral:misc_RNA from 1 species
UUUCCGUAGGUGAACCUGCGGAAGGAUCAUUACUGAGUGAGGGCCCCUCGGGGUCCAACCUCCCACCCGUGUUUAACGAACCUUGUUGCUUCGGCGCGCCCGCCUCACGGCCCCCUGGGGGCACCAGCCCCCGGGCCCGCCCCCGCCGAGGCCACCGGUGGACGCUCUCUUUCGUAUGCAGUUUGUAUGAAUUGUUAAAUUAAUUAAUACUUUUAACAACGGACCUCUCGAUUCCGCCAUCGACGAAGAACGCAUUAGAUCUGAAGAGCACACAUAUGA